rnacentral:rRNA from 1 species
GACAAAUAGAAAAAUUCUUUUUAUAAUAAAAUUUAAAUAACAAAUUUAAUUAUAAUUAUUAAAAAUUAAGGUGAAAUUUUUUUUUAAUUAAAUUUUAUAUAAAAUUAAAAUUCUUAUAAUAAACUAGGAUUAGAUACCCUAUUAUUUUAGAGCUUUACAUUGUAAGUAAAUAAUAAUUACGAAAGCAAAAAAUUAUGGCGGUAUUUUAAGCUUUUCAGAGGAAUUUGCUCUUUAAUGGAUAAAACACCUAAAUCUUACUUAAAUUUGUUAGGUCAAUUUGUAUACCACUAUUAAAUUAAUUAAUAAUUUUAAUUUAUAAAAUUUAUAUAAAUUUAAAAAAAAUUAAGUCAAGGUGCAGUAAAAAUUUAAGAAUGAAGUGAAUUACAAUUCUCUUAAGAGAUUAUUUAAAUUAAAAUUUUAAUUUAGGAUUUGAAAGUAAAAUUAAAAUAGAAUGUUAAUUUGAAUAAAGCUCUAAAAUAU